AUCCAGUUGACGAGUCCCAAAUAGGACGAAAUGCAUGUCUAACUGGAU
rnacentral:hammerhead_ribozyme from 1 species